AGUGAACGCUGGCGGUAGGCCUAACACAUGCAAGUCGAACGGCAGCACAGUAAGAGCUUGCUCUUACGGGUGGCGAGUGGCGGACGGGUGAGGAAUACAUCGGAAUCUACUUUUUCGUGGGGGAUAACGUAGGGAAACUUACGAUAAUACCGCAUACGACGUACGGGUGAAAGCAGGAGAUCUUCGGACCUUGCGCGAUUGAUUGAGCCGAUGUCGGAUUAGCUAGUUGGCGGGGUAAAGGCCCACCAAGGCGACGAUCCGUAGCUGGUCUGAGAGGAUGAUCAGCCACACUGGAACUGAGACACGGUCCAGACUCCUACGGGAGGCAGCAGUGGGGAAUAUUGGACAAUGGGCGCAAGCCUGAUCCAGCCAUACCGCGUGAGUGAAGAAGGCCUUCGGGUUGUAAAGCCCUUUUGUUGGGAAAGAAAAGCAGCAGGUUAAUACCCCGCUGUUCUGACGGUACCCAAAGAAUAAGCACCGGCUAACUUCGUG
rnacentral:rRNA from 1 species